AUGCCAAGGAGCAGGGCUUUGUCAUGGAGAGUGACUAGGUGCUUUUACAUAGGAAAGUCACCUGAUAAUAUUAAAACCUGUGAAAUAUCACUCUGGUGGAAGUGUGAAUGAAUUUGAAAGGGGUGUAACACUGUUCUACUUUGUUUACUCCUCAGUACCCUUGGCUGUGUACAUUUGAGUAAAGAGAGCACUAUAAAAUCAAAAACCAAUGAAAUGGUUUCCAGAACACAGAACUAUUAAGCUUAAGAAAAGGACAGAAGGAACUGAAGAGAGAGGAACUGUUUUGGAGCAUCACACUUCCACCUCAGAAGAAAUAAGGAAGGAAGGAGGAGGGUGUUCCCACGGCUCUUCAACCAGGCCGGCUCUUCAGCCUACAUCCCCAUCUCAUCAAGUAAAAGGGAUUUUUCAACUGGACCAACCAGAUGGUUUAACAGUGCACUCCCACACCAUUCAACUACGCAAGGGAGAUACACUUAACAUAUGCAGUCGUAUAACACCUACUAACAUUUUCAAACAUUAAACCUUUAAAAAAGAGUUCUAAAGAAAUAGAAGCUUGAAGUAUCAUCUCUCAAGUAUAUAGACACUACUUCAUGGUGUGGUAAUAUAUGCAUAUAGAAGCUAGUAAACACCUCCAGGAGAUGCAAAAGGAAUUAGAACUGCCACAAGGUGCAAGCAAAACCUUGAGGUAAUCAAUCUGCAUCCCAUUUUGGAUGAGAAUAUUUGCAACUUUGAAGGUUAUUUUAAGGACAGCAGCAGAAGAAUUAUGGCAGGUAUCUGAAAUUCAUUUCUGUGCUUUGCCGAGGACCCAUGGGAUGCCAUUUGCAGAUGAGAAAACUAAAGAAUAGCUUUAUCUUCCAGCUCUUCACGGAAAAAAAAAUGGCAACAAUAAAAUCAGCAACUCCUGCCAAAUAAAUGGGCAUAAAAAAGAAAUCAUAGACUGCUGGCAAUGGUGGGGAAAAAGUUAUAAAAAUUGUCUCUGCACCAUCUUCCUUUUGUCCUCUAAAAUAUUCACAUUAGCAAAAGUAUAUAACAGCUGAUGAAGAAAUACUGAUAAUUUGUCUUUCUUCUUUAAAAUAUGAAGACUUCGAAGUUAUUUAUCCAAACCAACCUGAUCAUUUCUUAAGAGUGAAUAUACCUUGGAAGACGUGUCCUGCCUUUAGUAGCGUCACAAUGGAUUACAUCCUCUAUAAAGCAGUCUGGGGUGAGAAAAUCGAAUUUGGACACCGUUGAGGAGACUAUUGCAGUCAUCCAAGCUCAAGAUGGUGGAGCUUCAUCCUUGAGAAUAACCAAUGGGGAUAGAUUUAAGAGACACUUAGAGUCUGCAGCCAACAGGGCUGAAUGAGCAAGUUAUGAUUCAGAAGAUCAUCUAAAAUUGAACAGCUGCCACUACUGGCAAUAAGUCUACUGCCAUUUGGUAGAUAACCUUCUUAUCACACAGAAAAAUAUCAGUACAGACAAAUAGACCGCAAAGAAAAUGAGACCAUCAGCAAAGAAGAUAAAGAAGUUUGUACAAAGCAACUUUUUAUAAAUGGAUGGCUGUCAGGCAAAAAUAAAUUUCCUGUGGACAAGACCAAGAGCAAGGCAAGAGGAAAAUAAACAUGUUUAAAC
ensembl:lncRNA LINC00343 long intergenic non-protein coding RNA 343